rnacentral:lncRNA from 1 species
CAAGAUUAGGGCAAGGGAGAAACUCAACCUUUGCCCCCUCCUUUCCCCUGAUGCUGAUCAAACCCCGCCACUACCACCAACAACAACUGCUUUGGCAGCAGGACCUGCCGGCUUCCUCCUCCCUAAUGAAGAGAGAGAUUUUACUCCACCUACUAGUAGCAAUGAAGGAGGAGAUGGUCGGCCAUGGCCUAAAUUCAUCACUGCUAUCCCCACCACUUGCAUCCUUCUUCAACUACCUGCCUCACAUUACUUUUUCUUUUUUAAAUACUUUCGUCAUUACUAUGAUCAUUAUUGGUUUGAGCCCCUCACAAAUCUGAUGACUGAGGUGGUCAUUCCUAGCUAAGAUUGGCCUACACACUGUUCGCAUAUUGAUUUGAAGCCAUCCAUCCAUACCUUUUACUAAUUAAGGGUUGCUUCAAAAACUCAAAGAUCGUCUCUCCUCUGGUGAAGGGCUGGAUAAUGGGAGACGCACAAUCUGGCUGCUGCUUUCCUGCCCUGCAACCUGGCCAUUGCAUGACAUCAUGAUAUUACAUAGUUCUUUUGACCUAGUGAUAUCAGAGUUUGACCUUACAUCACUUUUGAUAUCAUAUAUAUAUUCAUUUGUAGACUACAAAUUAAGGCUGUAAGUGAAUAUGAAAAGACCAACAUUUGCUUACCUGAUCAGGAAAAUAAAGCACGACACCAAUAUCAUCCUUAGUCUAAUUUUCUCAGUUACUGGGAGUAAACCGUUCAAGUGCACUCGACUCCCUAGUUUUCCACUGUCUUUCAGCAGCCCUCUUUCUGUCUGUCUUGCCAUUUU